rnacentral:rRNA from 1 species
UGAACGGCAGCAUGAUCUAGCUUGCUAGAUUGAUGGCGAGUGGCGAACGGGUGAGUAAUACAUCGGAACGUGCCCUGUAGUGGGGGAUAACUAGUCGAAAGAUUAGCUAAUACCGCAUACGACCUGAGGGUGAAAGUGGGGGACCGCAAGGCCUCAUGCUAUAGGAGCGGCCGAUGUCUGAUUAGCUAGUUGGUGAGGUAAAGGCUCACCAAGGCGACGAUCAGUAGCUGGUCUGAGAGGACGAUCAGCCACACUGGGACUGAGACACGGCCCAGACUCCUACGGGAGGCAGCAGUGGGGAAUUUUGGACAAUGGGGGCAACCCUGAUCCAGCAAUGCCGCGUGUGUGAAGAAGGCCUUCGGGUUGUAAAGCACUUUUGUCCGGAAAGAAAUCGCACUUACUAAUAUUAGGUGUGGAUGACGGUACCGGAAGAAUAAGGACCGGCUAACUACGUGCCAGCAGCCGCGGUAAUACGUAGGGUCCAAGCGUUAAUCGGAAUUACUGGGCGUAAAGCGUGCGCAGGCGGUUGUGCAAGACCGAUGUGAAAUCCCCGGGCUUAACCUGGGAAUUGCAUUGGUGACUGCACGGCUAGAGUGUGUCAGAGGGGGGUAGAAUUCCACGUGUAGCAGUGAAAUGCGUAGAGAUGUGGAGGAAUACCGAUGGCGACGCAGCCCCCUGGGAUAACACUGACGCUCAUGCACGAAAGCGUGGGGNAGCAAACAGGAUUAGAUACCCUGGUAGUCCACGCCCUAAACGAUGUCAACUAGUUGUUGGGGAUUCAUUUCCUUUAGUAACGUAGCUAACGCGUGAAGUUGACCGCCUGGGGAGUACGGUCGCAAGAUUAAAACUCAAAGGAAUUGACGGGGACCCGCACAAGCGGUGGAUGAUGUGGAUUAAUUCGAUGCAACGCGAAAAACCUUACCUACCCUUGACAUGCCACUAACGAAGCAGAGAUGCAUUAGGUGCUCGAAAGAGAAAGUGGACACAGGUGCUGCAUGGCUGUCGUCAGCUCGUGUCGUGAGAUGUUGGGUUAAGUCCCGCAACGAGCGCAACCCUUGUCUCUAGUUGCUACGAAAGGGCACUCUAGAGAGACUGCCGGUGACAAACCGGAGGAAGGUGGGGAUGACGUCAAGUCCUCAUGGCCCUUAUGGGUAGGGCUUCACACGUCAUACAAUGGUGCAUACAGAGGGUUGCCAAGCCGCGAGGUGGAGCUAAUCCCAGAAAAUGCAUCGUAGUCCGGAUCGUAGUCUGCAACUCGACUACGUGAAGCUGGAAUCGCUAGUAAUCGCGGAUCAGCAUGCCGCGGUGAAUACGUUCCCGGGUCUUGUACACACCGCCCGUCACACCAUGGGAGUGGGUUUUGCCAGAAGUAGUUAGCCUAACCGCAAGGGGGGCGAUUACCACGGCAGGGUUCAUGACUGGGGUGAAGUCGUA